GGUACAAGAAGAUACUUCUCAUUGAUUUUGGCUACUAUAUAAUAUUUUAUAGUAUAGGCAGAUAUGCUAUAUUCAGUUAUUUUCCUAUUGAGAGACAUUAAGGUAUUUCCAUUUUUUUGUUGUUAUGAACGAUUCUUACUGUGUUUUAAGUAUCAGUGUUCUUUUCUUAGGCCUUUUGUCUUCUUUUCUCAUGCUGCUCUUCUAGGUGAUCUCAACCUUUCUGACAGCUCCACUUAACCGUCUACAUAUGGAUGAUGCCCAGCUCUGUCUGCAGACCAGUGUCCAGCUGCUCACGUGGCCGGCAUCACAGGGAUAUUGUGCACACUCACCACCAUGUGGCCUCCUGCUCCUCCUUACUUGCUGCCUCACCUGGUGUCCUGUCACAUGCCUGAGGAGAAUCUCAGAUUGUCUUACCUGUUCUAAAUUCAAGCUUGGGUAUUCACCUGUCAGCAGGGCAACUGGACCUGUAUGUUCCAUAGACUUCCUAAAUUUAGUAGCAACACGGUAAGAAAGUUUGGUUAAAGUGAUUUGUUAUUUUUGGUGAGAGUAUAUGAAAACUCUUAACACCAGGACUUGUGUAUUAUUGGUAUCCAAGAGGUGACAGAGAGUAUGUGAGAUAUAUUUUGAAACUGUUAAGUCCUUCCUUAGAUCCCCUGCUUCUCACGUGCCUCCUAUUCUUAGCUAAACAGGGGAUAGCAACAUGGAUUCCACAUUUGGGAAGUUGCCAAUUCCUCGUUGGUGGCUUUAUGCUCAGGCAGAAGGUGUAAUAGGCUUCUGCAUAUAUGACAGCAAAUAUAUCUGGACCCUGUCUGUCAGGUUACUCAAAAUCUUACCCCAGACUGAAAAUGUCACCUUGGGCAACAUUCUUGGUAGGGACCUAGGUUUGAGAAUCUUAGUGGGGAAGACUGUGAAUCUCUAGGGUAGUCAUGCAAGGUGGUGAGUGUAUGGGAUUGGACAGGAGUUUAACUUAGCCAGGAUAGCUUGAUGGAUGUAGCUAUGGAGGAAGGGAUAAAGUAAGGAGUAAAACGGUCUCAGCUCCUUGUAAUGUUCUGCUCCUAGGAAGAUAUAGGCACUGUGUGCCAGGGGCAGAGCUCUGGCCUGUCACUCCGCUUUGAGAGUCAGUCUUACCCCUGGCUGCCCUACAAGGCAUUUGGAGUUCAGUAGGAGAUGGAACAGGGAAUCUGAAUCAGAAAGACCUUGCUUCAAAUCUUUUUUUUUUUUUUUUUUAAGAUUUUAUUUUAUUCAUUUGGUUGCGGGGGGGAGCACAAGCAGAGGGAGAGGCAGAAAAAGAGGGAGAAGCAGACUCCCUGCCAAGCCAAGAGCCUGAAAUGGGACUCAAUCCCAGAACCUGGAGAUCAUGACCCGAGCCAAAGGCAGAUGCCUGCGUGCCCUAACCUUACUUCAAAUAUUACAGAUCUGCAGGAAGGAAGUGUGUGUCCCAGGACUUGUUUUCUGUGUGCUGAAAUAAGGACUGCCAUCCAGGUGUGUGGAGGUUUCCCUCCAUCCUUCUUAUGCCCCUUCAACUUGCUUCCAUCUUAAGCUUUCAUCCUUUUCACCCUAUCAUUGGCAUGGCAUCUAGAAAGAGGAGGGGGAAGGGUGAGAAGGAAAGGGAGAGUUAGGGCUGAACAGAGAGCCCAAUGCGGGGCUCGAUCCCAGGACCCCAAGAUUAUGACCUGAGCUGAAGGCAGAGGCUUAACCCACUGAGCCACCCAGGUACCCCUA
ensembl:lincRNA